GGGCAAACUACACACUGGAAGCCUUUCGCAACCUACCAGGCCGCAGCGUGGGCCUUGGGACCCCCUGUCUUAGGACUACACGGUGGAGGCGACCCUUGAGGUGCUGACAAACAUUGGCUUGCAUGCACGGCCCGAGAACAGGACCCCAGUAUUGACAGUAGCAGAAGCAAUCAGCUUCCACGAAGAGCUGCUAAUAACAUGGCAAACCUGGCAGACUGUGCAAUUUAUGAAUAAGAAGCUUGCACUGGGUGUAGAUCGGCUCUGAAAAAGGAACCGGGAA